GGAAUAACGUAGUUUUUUCUGUCUCUUUUUUUUGUUAAAAAUUGCUGUUUUUGUGAAGAAGCAAAAAUUAUAAAAAAAGACAAGAAGACCCUAUUAAGCUUUACUUUUGUUACGGAUAAGGUGGUUUUUUUAAGUUAUCUGCUUAUUAGUUUAAAAGUUUGGUUGGGGUGACCAAAGAAGAAAAAAUCUUCUUUUUUAAUAAAAACAAUUUGUUUUGGUUGGGCCAGCAAUUGCUGAGAAUAAGAAUAAGUUACUAUAGGGAUAACAGCGUAAUUUUUUCAAAGAGUUCAUAUCAAAGAAAAAGAUUGCGACCUCGAUGUUGACUUAUUGUUUCCUUCUAAAAUUUAUAGGCAGAUCUUUAUUUUGAUAUAGAUUUGUUUUAGAAUAAAUAGGUGUAGUAGCUAAAAAGGUCAGUCUGUUCGACUGUUAAAACAAU
rnacentral:rRNA from 1 species